GGAAUCGUGGAAAAUAGGUCGGCGGUUAGUGAAAUGUGACGUGAUGCUGAAUUGUUUAAUGAAUUGUUCUGCAUGUGGACUUUGACCUGUUCCAGUGACAUUAAAAUAUAUAAAAGAAUUACAGAAAGGACUGUGAGGGUAUCUAUACGUAGAGUGUAGAAAAAUUAACUUCCAGUUGGUAAACACUGCAGCUGAUGGUAAAACCAACAACGUGAAAGACAAUGGGGAAAAUGGGCCUGGAAAAGUGGAAUACCAUGCUUUGUUGUCAACACAAAACUUGGAACAGCAUUUAGCAAUGGUUGACAGCCUGGGUGGACCAUCCCGUGUAAACGAUAUGAUGUUCACAUUAAACCUCAAAACAAUAUUGGACACCAACUUAAAAAUAAUGGAACAGCCAGCUGGUGAGGACUGAUGGAGCAAGUUGCGACUGAAUCAGCAAGGAUUGCAGCUAGCGAUUCUAUCUUAAAUGAAAUCACUUGAAGGAAGGGAACCCCCGCAGGUUACUCAAAUGCAUCAGUGGAAGUCCAGUCUGGUAGUCAGUUCGCAACAUACGUCACACCAACUGUUAAGGUCAAGAGGCUUUACAAAUUACAGGCAUUUCAAUGACUGAUGGGACAAUGACAUUCAUUGGAUAGGUUGUGAAGCCAGUGUCGGACAAUGACAUUCAUUGGAUCAGCUGUGCAGCCAGUGUCAAUAUGAGUUGUUUUUUUCUAUUUUUAGUAACAGUGACCUUAUCAAUCACAUAAGGUGUAAAUGACGGGUUGUACUUAUUAACCCAUAGAUUGCCUUCAAUAUGCAUGCCAAGUUUCACCAAAUUUGCUGGAGUAUUUGUAACCAACCGCAGGUUAUAGUGUAAA